rnacentral:rRNA from 1 species
AACGAACGCUGGCGGCAUGCCUAACACAUGCAAGUCGAACGAGACCUUCGGGUCUAGUGGCGCACGGGUGCGUAACGCGUGGGAACCUGCCCUUAGGUUCGGAAUAACUCCCCGAAAGGGGUGCUAAUACCGGAUAAUGUCUUCGGACCAAAGAUUUAUCGCCUUUGGAUGGGCCCGCGUUGGAUUAGCUAGUUGGUAGGGUAAAAGCCUACCAAGGCGACGAUCCAUAGCUGGUCUGAGAGGAUGAUCAGCCACACUGGGACUGAGACACGGCCCAGACUGCUGUGGGAGGCAGGGGAGGGGAAGAGAGGACAGGGGGAGAAAGCCUGACACCGGGAUGCUGCGUGAGGGAUGGCGGCCUUGUGGUUGAAAAGCUCUGGUCCGCGGGAGGAAAAUGGCAGUGCCGGGGGAACAAGCUCCGGAUAACGCCGUGCAGGCAGCCGGGGCAAUGGGUCGGAGCCACGUCUGAAC